AGAGAGCUGGAUUUAGGAAUCCAGCUAGUUUCAAUCCACAUAGUUUCAGUUUCAAGGGAAGGCUAUUUUCCAUCACUUUAUGGAAAAUGGUAAAUUUCUAAAUAGACUUUUUAUACUUAGUUUUUUAGGAACAAGAUUAUAUGUUAAAGUAUUGAUUUUUAAUUUUUAACUCUUUAGUCUGCCUUUCCUGUCUUCACUGAAGUAUAUCAACUUCUCUGAUUUCAGAACUGAUGAGUUAAUACAAAGAAAAAUCCAUGAGAAAUUUGCCCAGUGCACUGUGCUAACCAUCACACACAGGUUGAGCACCGUUAUUGGCUGUGAACAGAUACUGGUUUUGGAUUCAGGGAACGCAGUAGAAUAUGAUGAGCCAUAUGAUUUGCUGCAAAAUAGAGACAGCCUGCUUUACAAGAUGGUGCAGCAACUGGGUGAGGUGGAGGCCACUGUCUUCAUUGAAAGGGCAAAAUAGCCUCAGAUGCACUCUGAAAGCGAAUAACCAGAUAUCACUCACAGUGACCAUGUGAUUAUGAAUAUUAUGAAUGGCCAAUGGACAACAUUCCGCCUUCACAACUUUUGGGUCUACUCUGUGAUUCUACCAUGAGUUCACAUCUAUUCCAAAGACAUUGUUCCAAUUG
rnacentral:lncRNA from 1 species